rnacentral:misc_RNA from 1 species
GAUGAAGAACGUAGCGAAAUGCGAUAAGUAGCGUGAAUUGCAGAAUUCAGUGAAUCAUCGAAUCUUUGAACGCACAUUGCGCCCCUUGGUAUCCCGAGGGGCAUGCCUGUUCGAGCGUCAUUUCACCACUCAAGCCUGGCUUGGUGUUGGGCGACGUCCCCUUUGGGGACGCGCCUCGAAACGCUCGGCGGCGUGGCACCGGCUUUAAGCGUAGCAGAAUCUUUCGCUUUGGAAGUCGGGGCCCCGUCUGCCGGAAGACCUACUCGCAAGGUUGACCUCGGAUCAGGCAGGGAUACCCGCUGAACUUAAGCAUAUCAAUAAGCGGAGGA